UUUUUGCAAAUUUUACAGAAAGUUCCUGCAACACACAUGAAUUAUUUGUAAGGCUAAAAAAAAUUUGUGUGUAAAAAUGCACCGAGAGGAUUCAAAUAAUACCUCUUCUGUUUCUUCAUCAGGUGGUAAUCCUGUGUCCGCAACAAUUUGAGUAGAAGUAUCCAUCUUAUUUGUUUCCUGUAAAGCUAUACCCCUAAACUGUAUUUGUUUGCAGGGAGGAACUGUGACUGCCAGGACAAACAAUUAUGGGGCAAAAAUUUGGUUUUGAAGCAGAGAAAACUUGACAAACAACAGUCUUUUGUUGUUUUUACUUUUUCUUGCUGAUGUUUCCGAACUACAAACACAUUCUGCAGUACUCACAGACCUGUGUGGAACUCAGAAAAGAAAGUCUUAGUGGAAACAAAUGGGCCUCAUAUUGCACGUAUAUCUGUUUUUGAGUACCUUUCAGUGCGGCGUGAGAUGAUGUCGGUCCUGAAGUGGUGA